GUCACGGAUGAAGUCCACAACGGCAUCCAGGGCGGAGAAGAAGAUCUUCACAACGGUCUGGAAGGCGGAGGUGGCAGCCCACUGGUUUUAGGGUUUGUAUAAAAUCGAGGGGAAGAUUGAUCUCCAAAGUCCAGAAAGACAGUCAAUCUAAAGGAUGAAAACCUUAGACAAAUUUCCUGGCCCUCCAGGUUGGGGGUUGGAUCAUUGAGCUAGCUCCUUAAUAUCUAGAAAAAAA
rnacentral:lncRNA from 1 species